GACGAACGCUGGCGGCGUGCUUAACACAUGCAAGUCGAACGAAGUGGCGAACGGGUGAGUAACGCGUAAUCAACCUGCCCUUCAGAGGAGGAGAACAGGUGGAAACGACGGCUAAUACCGCAUAAUGUGGGAGGGGAUUGCGUCUGAUUAGCUAGUGGGAGGGGUAACGGCCCACCAAGGCGAUGAUCAGUAGCCGGUCUGAGAGGAUGGACUGCCACAUUGGGACUGGGACACGGCCCCGACUCCGAAGGGAGGCAGCAGUGGGGAAUCUUCCGCAAGGGACGGAAGGCCGACGCAGCAACGCCGCGUGAGUGAGGACGGCCUUCGGGUUGUAAAGCCCUGUUUAUCGGGACGCGGUACCGGAAUAGAAAGCCACGGCUAACUACGUGCCAGCAGCCGCGGUAAUAC
rnacentral:rRNA from 1 species